AUGCAGUCGAGCGAGAACCAGGGCUUCGGCUCUGGGGACAGCGGCGAACGGGUGAGUAACACGUGGGUAAUCCACCCUCGGCACCGGAAUAGCCCGGGGAAACCCGGAUUAAUGCCGGAUGGCCCGUCGACCCUUCGGGGCUGACGGAAAAGGUAGCUUCGGCCUCCGGCCGGGGACGAGCCCGCGACGGAUUAGCUUGUUGGUGGGGUAACGGCCUACCAAGGCUCCGAUCCGUAGCUGGUCUGAGAGGACGAUCAGCCACACUGGGACUGAGACACGGCCCAGACUCCUACGGGAGGCAGCAGUGGGGAAUCUUGCGCAAUGGGCGAAAGCCUGACGCAGCGACGCCGCGUGAGGGAAGAAGGCCUUCGGGUUGUAAACCUCUUUCAGGAGGGACGAAGCCACUCGGGUUAAUAGCCCAGAGGGUGACGGUACCUCCAGAAGAAGCCCCGGCUAACUACGUGCCAGCAGCCGCGGUAAUACGUAGGGGGCAAGCGUUGUCCGGAUUUAUUGGGCGUAAAGAGCGUGUAGGCGGCCAGGUAGGUCUGCUGUGAAAACUCGAGGCUUAACCUCGAGCUGUCGGCGGAAACCAUCUGGCUAGAGUCCGGAAGAGGAGAAUGGAAUUCCCGGUGUAGCGGUGAAAUGCGCAGAUAUCGGGAAGAACACCCGUGGCGAAGGCGGUUCUCUGGGACGGUACUGACGCUGAGACGCGAAAGCGUGGGGAGCGAACAGGAUUAGAUACCCUGGUAGUCCACGCCGUAAACGAUGAGUGCUAGU
rnacentral:rRNA from 1 species